rnacentral:pre_miRNA from 1 species
AUAGUACUCCCUCCGUCCUGAAAUACUUGUCAUCAAAAUGGAUGAAAAUGGAUGUAUCUAUAACUAAAAUACAUCUAGAUACAUCCAUUUCAAUGACAAGUAUUUCUGGACGGAGCGAGUACAAU